AAGACAAGCGUUAAGUCGUCACGAAAGUAUUUCGUGCACUUAAAUUGGAUAAGACUCGCUACCAAUCCCCGUUGACUCGAUAGCUCAAUAGGUAGAGCGGCGGUCUAGAUACCCGAAGAUGCGAGUUCAAAUCCCGCUCGAGCCAACAAAUUUUUCGUUGCUCGAUUGCAGUGUCAGAUUAAUAUGAAACUAGUUUUCCUAUCUCUGAGGAUGGUUCUGAAAUAGAAUUGAAACACUGCGCGUCCUCAAAGACAAGCGUUAAGUCGUCACGACAAUAUUUCGUGCACUUAAAUUGGAUAAGACUCGCUACCAAUCCCUGUUGACUCGAUAGCUCAAUAGGUAGAGCGGCGGUCUAGAUACCCGAAGAUGCAAGUUCAAAUCCCGCUCGAGCCAACGAAUUUUUCGUUGCUCGAUUG